CUUUGAUUUUUCAAUUUCCAAUUCAAUACAAUUUCAUGACAAGGAACUUGAGAGUUAAUUAGUUACUUAACUUUUUUUGUUGUUGUAAACACACAGAGGGAGGUGGCUCAGCCAUGGAGACGGAAAUGAGAGGCAUAAGAACAACCAUUACCCACAUGGCACAGUGGAUGGAUGCAUUUGAGGAGAAGAUGGAUGAGCUGCUCAUGCUCUUAAGGAGCUCCCAGUCACCUCCCUCUGCUCCAGUCGAUGACAUGUUGCUGUCGCCCUGCUCGAUAGUCACCGAGCUGCAUGAUUUUGACAGGAGUCUCGGUUAACAAAAUGCAACUUUUCCUGACAACCCUUGGAGGUUCGACCGGAGGUACUGCCAUCCGCCACAUGCUACAGCGAGUGGCAACCAAUGAUGUUCUAAAACAGUACAGCCUGUGGGGCAGAAAGGCAGAGAAGGCCUUCCAGGACCUGACAAUCUGCAGGGUUAUA